GAGCUGGGUGAGCCCAGACUGGGGCUCAUCCAUGGCAGCUCAUUAAAGGAUGAUCCAGCUGUGUGAGGAGGGAUUUAGCAUCGCUGAAAGUUCCAUGGUCAAGCAUCAGUGGCAGCCUCUGGCUUCUGGCUUGUCAAGAGAUUCUGGACAUUGAAGAUGCUUGGCCUCUAAACCUCAAGGAAAAUCAACGUGCCUGCAUCCAGGAGAAAGGAGAUUUCAGCUUCUCUUUAGGUGAUGGACUGAGGAGAUAAGUGCUGACUUCAAAAGCUGCUCCCACUCUGGUGGUGGGGAGUUACUCCUGCAGGAUCCACCUCCAUGGUGUGGCUGUUCAACUAGAGCUGGAUGAUGGUGUUGGAAGCCUGCCCAUCACAUCCACUGGGCUCUCUGGUAAUGACCCCACUGCUCUCUGACACGGUGACUGUGAAGGGCCUGGGUCAAAACCGUGGGCCUGGUCCUCCUGAGCAUUUUGGAAUCAAAGCAUAGCUGGGACCUGAGCAGAAAGGCCAACCAUGGGCAGAGCAGGGAGAUGUAUGGACAUGUACAGCCAGCUGUGUUCAGUGGCUCUCACCAAUCUCUGAGCAGACUUUGGAGGAGCAGGACUGUUCCUCAUUUGUUGAAAUGCAGCCCUCAGCAUGAUGAGUGAUUUCUUGGCAGGAUAUCAAAUAUUGCUGAGGCCACGGAAAUCAAACUCUUCCACUAGUAAGGAGACUUUAAAGUUUCAGGACAUCCAUCCCACCCCUGCUCCCUCUGUCCAUCAUUGGCAGAUCUUGGUGGUCCUUCUACCUCCAAAAACCUUGCUCAGAUGCUGCAGUGAUGGUGACAGUGCCCCAGCUGUGCUUGUCCUCGAAUGGACCUUGGGUGGACCUGCAGGAACCUGAACAGGUCCCAAGGACCGAUGCUGCUCAUUGCAUCCAGAGCUGUUGAGCAUCCCACAGGAGGGUGUUGAGACGUGGAUAAGCCACAGAUUGCUUUGCCCAAUGCUCUUCCUUCUCCAUUCCUGUCUCUGUGAGCAGCAGAGCCUGUGGCAUCCUCUCCUUCACCACUCAACAGCUGCAGAUUCACUGUUCACAUGGAAUCAGAGAGUGGUCUGGGUUUGAAGAGACUUUAAAGCUCAUCCAGUUCCAACCCCCUUCCAUGAGCAGGGACACAUUCCACUGUACCAGGUUUCUCCA